AACGAACGCUGGCGGCAUGCCUAACACAUGCAAGUCGAACGAGACCUUCGGGUCUAGUGGCGCACGGGUGCGUAACGCGUGGGAACCUGCCCUUAGGUUCGGAAUAACUCCCCGAAAGGGGUGCUAAUACCGGAUAAUGUCUUCGGACCAAAGAUUUAUCGCCUUUGGAUGGGCCCGCGUUGGAUUAGCUAGUUGGUAGGGUAAAAGCCUACCAAGGCGACGAUCCAUAGCUGGUCUGAGAGGAUGAUCAGCCACACUGGGACUGAGACACGGCCCAGACUCCUACGGGAAGCAGCAGUGGGGAAUAUUGGACAAUGGGCGAAGGCCUGAUCCAGCAAUGCCGCGUGAGUGAUGAAGUCCUUAGGGUUGUAAAGCUCUUUUACCCGGGAUGAUAAUGACAGUACCGGGAGAAUAAGCUCCGGCUAACUCCGUG
rnacentral:rRNA from 1 species